GUCUACAGCCAUACCACCCUGAAUGCACCCAAUCUCAUCUGAUUUCUGAAGUUAUGCAGGGUCAGGCCUCGUUAUUACUUGGAUGAGAGACCACCUGGGAAUACCAGGUGCUGUAGGCU
rnacentral:rRNA from 1 species